UGCCCAGACUCCUACGGGAGGCAGCAGUGAGGAAUAUUGGUCAAUGGGCGGAAGCCUGAACCAGCCAAGUCGCGUGAGGGACUAAGGCCCUGCGGGUCGUAAACCUCUUUUGCCGGGGAGCAGUGGUCCGGACGCGUCCGGACCGGGAGAGUACCCGGAGAAAAAGCAUCGGCUAACUCCGUGCCAGCAGCCGCGGUAAUACGGAGGAUGCGAGCGUUAUCCGGAUUUAUUGGGUUUAAAGGGUGCGCAGGCGGCGUGUCAAGUCAGCGGUAAAAUGUCGGGGCUCAACCCCGGCCGGCCGUUGAAACUGGCGUGCUCGAGUUGGAGAGAAGUAUGCGGAAUCCGUGGUGUAGCGGUGAAAUGCAUAGAUAUCACGAAGAACCCCGAUUGCGAAGGCAGCAUACCGGCUCCACACUGACGCUGAGGCACGAAAGCGUGGGUAUCGAACAGGAUUAGGUACCCCAGUAUC
rnacentral:rRNA from 1 species